UAGCGUGUGCCAACCGAAAAAGGGACGUAACUCUUUUUUCUUAAUUGGCUGUCACAAAUAUGGCACUAUUUUUUCGCGAAAAGCUAGCCUUGCAUUACGGCCUCGUGUUGGUUACCUGCAAUCGAUACCGGUUCCAUUCAACCGAAAACAGUUAGUUAAGAGGUCAAGGUUGCUCCGCAUGCAAAAUUUAUCACUCGUAGCAAGCUGUCCACGAGAACAUGGAUAUUUCAUAGCUGUCCACGAGAACAUGGAUAUUUCAUAGCUGUCCAUGAGAACAUGUUUCCAGUUUCCAUUUAAUCAUCAAAAAACAAUUUCCACUAUUUUUAAUGAUUUUUUUUUAUAGUUAUUAUUUUUAUGUUUUUUCGGAACAAAAUAUGUCCGAUUUGCUUUAAAUUUUGUCAAAAUAAAAGGUAAAAACAA